GACGAACGCUGGCGGCGUGCUUAACACAUGCAAGUCGAACGGAAAGGCCCUGCUUUUGUGGGGUGCUCGAGUGGCGAACGGGUGAGUAACACGUGAGUAACCUGCCCUUGACUUUGGGAUAACUUCAGGAAACUGGGGCUAAUACCGGAUAGGAGCUCCUGCUGCAUGGUGGGGGUUGGAAGGUUUCGGCGGUUGGGGAUGGACUCGCGGCUUAUCAGCUGGUUGGUGGGGUAGUGGCUUACCAAGGCUUUGACGGGUAGCCGGCCUGAGAGGGUGACCGGCCACAUUGGGACUGAGAUACGGCCCAGACUCCUACGGGAGGCAGCAGUGGGGAAUAUUGCACAAUGGGCGGAAGCCUGAUGCAGCAACGCCGCGUGCGGGAUGACGGCCUUCGGGUUGUAAACCGCUUUCGCCUGUGACGAAGCGUGAGUGACGGUAAUGGGUAAAGAAGCACCGGCUAACUACGUG
rnacentral:rRNA from 1 species